AUGCGAGGCAGCCACCCGGAGACUCGCGGUGCGGCCCCUGCCCAGGCGCGCACGGGCACCCGGGGUGCGGGGAGAGGUGCGCAGCUCCAACCGCAGAUCCGCCCGGACAUCACCUGCCAGCUGCUCGCUCACGGACGCGCUGAGGCUCAGGGCAGCACCUGGGGCCACCCCUGCUGCCCAAGGCCCUGCCCUCCGGGUCUGGAGCCCUGGGGGGUCUCGACGGUCCCGCAGGGCGCACAGGGGCGGGGCUCAGAACAGGGCGGAGCUCAGCGCGAAGGGGGCGGGGCCCAGAGCGGAGGGGCGGGGCUCAGGGGAGGGGGCGGGGCGCAGAGCGGCGGGGGCAGGCGCAGAGCGGAGGGGCGGGGCUCAGCGCGGGGGCGGGGCUCAGAGGAGGGGGCGGGGCUCAGAGUGGAGGGGCGGGGCUCAGGGGAGGGGGCGGGGCACACAGCGGCGGGGGCAGACGCAGAGCGGAGGGCGGGGCUCAGAGGAGGGGGCGGGGCUCAGAGUGGAGGGGCGGGGCAGAGCGGCGGAGGCAGACGCAGAGCGGAGGGGCGGGGCUCAGCGCGGGGGGCGGGGCUCGGUGGGGGCGGGGCUCAGCGCGGGGGCGGGGCUCAGGGGAGGGGGCGGGGCUCAGAGUGGAGGGGCGGGGCUCAGGGGAGGGGGCGGGGCGCACAGCGGCGGGGGCAGACGCAGAGCGGAGGGCGGGGCUCAGGGGAGGGGGCGGGGCUCAGAGUGGAGGGGCGGGGCAGAGCGGCGCAGGCAGACGCAGAGCGGAGGGGCGGGACUCGGCGGGGGCGGGGCUCGGCGGGGGCGGGGGCGGGGCUCGGCGGGGGCGGGGCGGGGGCGGGGCGGGGCGGCGGGGCCCUGCUGCUGCUCCCCCAGCGCUGCCGCUGCUGCGCCCCCACGUCCAGAACCGGCGCGCGGGUUUCAUCCCCGCAGGUACCUGAGGUCUCCCGGGGAAGAGCGUCUGCGGAAGCCCAGAAGCUCCGAGGUGGGCGCUGCCCUCUGAGCCCGGGAGCGGGCCCCGGGGGCGGGCGGCGCAGGUCGGAGGUCCCGGCCGGGCCGCGCCCCAGAGCCCCAGGCCCCCGCGGGAGAGGCGGCGGACACGCGGGGCUGACGGGGUGUCCGCGUGGGGACGGACGCAGGGCGGCUGUGGCUGGCCCCGCAGGGCUCUCGGGUGCACGGCGUGAGCCCCGUGGGUGCGUCCCCCUCGCCGGGCCUGGACCCCACCGCCGCCCGCCCCGCGCUCCGUGUCCGGGAAUGAGGGGCCGGUGCCUGGAAGAGCAGUCAGGGGAGGGCCGCCGCGGGCCAGCAUGGUCCGCCCUGGUCCCCUGGACACUAACGGGCCGUCAGGCAGAGGCAGGCGCACCCCAAGGGGCCCGGGGGUCACAGGCAAGCCUGCUGCUCUCCCCAGCACCCUCUCGGGGAGCCUGUCCGAAAUGCCGCCUCCCCAAACUGUGA
rnacentral:lncRNA from 1 species